CCCCGCCCCCACCCAGUAUGUGCACCACGGUGAUGGCGCUGGGCGCGCUCAUGCUCUUCCUGCGGCGACGCUUCUGCAGCCGCGUGCAGCCCGUCCUCGUUAAUGGAGAGGACGGACACACCGCCGAUUCACAGAGAUGUGGAGCAGAGUCAUCGGUGUGCAGGGGAGGCCUCUGAAGAGUUAGUUUUUGUGAUGUCCCAGAUGGACUCAGCAGAACUAUGCUUUGUUUAGAGCCACGAUGAGCCACAUUGAGUCAGAUCGCACCGCACUAAACUCGUUCCGUUGGCCCACCAGUACUCCAGAUACACAGUAUAACUGACAAUCAAGUCUGUCUUUGAGGAAUCAUUGAUGGUUGGUCAUUGUCCAAAGUGAAGUGGUUCUGACAGCAUAAUAUUGGGAUCAGAGACCCAGAGUUACACAGCUUAAUAUAGCCACCCACUCGCACUAAUGCUACCCACAACUCAUUUGAUUCUCUCUACAUUGUCAUCAAUUGCCUCCCAGAUUCUACCCCUCACUCAUACACACAGGGUAAUGUACAGUGGGCAAUUAACCGACUAAACAGCAAUAAAAGUUUCCACAGGUGAUGGAAAGACUAGGUGCUGAGAGCUCUCUUAUACCUGCAUUAGGGAGGCAAUUAUUAUGCACCUGAACAAUU